rnacentral:rRNA from 1 species
CAGCAGCCGCGGUAGUACGAAGGGGGCUAGCGUUGUUCGGAAUUACUGGGCGUAAAGGGCGCGUAGGCGGCCAUUCAAGUUAGAUGUGAAAGCCCUGGGCUCAACCUAGGAAUUGCAUUUGAUACUGUUUGGCUUGAGUUCGGGAGAGGUGAGUGGAAUUCCCAGUGUAGAGGUGAAAUUCGUAGAUAUUGGGAAGAACACCGGUGGCGAAGGCGGCGACCUGGUCCUUGACUGACGCUGAGGCGCGAAAGCGUGGGGAGCAAACAGGAUUAGAUACCCCCGUAGUCCCUGUCUCUUAUAC